rnacentral:rRNA from 1 species
UACGGGGGGGGCAAGCGUUGUUCGGAAUUACUGGGCGUAAAGGGCUCGUAGGUGGCCAACUAAGUCGGACGUGAAAUCCCUCGGCUUAACCGGGGAACUGCGUCCGAUACUGGAUGGCUUGAGUUUGGGAGAGGGAUGCGGAAUUCCAGGUGUAGCGGUGAAAUGCGUAGAUAUCUGGAGGAACACCUGCGGUGUAGACGGCUUACUGGACCGUAACUGACGCUGAGGCACGAAAGCGUGGGUAGCAAACAGG